rnacentral:rRNA from 1 species
GACGAACGCUGGCGGCGUGCUUAACACAUGCAAGUCGAGCGGAAAGGUCCUGCUUUUGUGCCGUGCUCGAUUGGCGAACGCGGGAGUAACACGCGUGUAUCCUGCCCUUGACUGUGUGGUAAAUUCUCGAGAAUGCGGAUAUAAUCGCAGAUGAUAUACUGAUGCGUAUGGUUGGUUGGAAAAAUUCGGCUGUUCGGGCUGUACUCGCGGCUUAUCAGCUUGUUUGUGUAGUAGUUGAGUACAAAGGCUUUGACGGGUAGCCUGCCUGAGAGCGUGGCCGGCCACAUUGCGCCUGCGAUACGCCCCAGAAUCCUACGGGCGGCAGCAGUGGGGAAUAUUGCACAGUGGGCGGAAGCGUGAUGCAACAACGCUGCGUGCGGGAUGAUGGCCUUCGGGUUGAAAACAGCUUUGGACUGUGCCGAAGCGUGCGUGACGGUAAUGGGUCAAGAAGCACCGGCUAACUACGUG